rnacentral:lncRNA from 10 species
AGAUCAGCCCUGGGGUUCAGAGGGAUCCUGACAGCUACUCCUCAAGAUCCUCUCUGUUGUGAUUCAUCCCCCCGGGGCCCUACAGUUUCUCCUUCCUGACUCUUACAUUUCUUUGGAUGGCAUCAUUAUUUACCUGUCUCCUCCCAUAGUUAGGUGCCAAGCACUGUGGAUUCUGCCUCUCAGUGUCCAGACACCCAUUUUCCUUCCCACUGUUCCUUCCCCAUGGAGAAGCCUGUGGCUGGCUGACAGCAGAGAGAGAUGCUCAACUUGGAGAAGGUGUUACCUGGGCCAGGUGGGGAAGGUUUGUUUGCAGAGCAAAGAAGUGAAGCGGAACCAACCCCUCCUCUUCUUCCUCCCCCUCAGCCUAUUCAACGUGAAAAAGAUGAGGAUGAAGACCUUUAUUAUGAUCCACUUCCAAGUAAUGAACACACUGGAGAAAGUCAGACAGUCAAAACAAUGUCCCAGACUCCGUGAAGUUCCUGGGUAGAGAAGGAGACAGACAUAUACCAUACCUAAUAAUUGGAUGUCCGAGAGAAUGAGAGAAUGGCAGAAAGAACUUUAGAGCAUGGGUAUGAUGGCUAGAGCUUGAGCAGCCAUUGUGGACAUCAGAUGAACUUGAAAGUGAAAACUAUGAGCUGAAUACGACAAAGCAAACAGAUAGAAAACUGGAUUCAUUAUGACAUUGCAAAGCUGCCAGACCAGCUCUAGUCUGCUUCCCCCUAAUCUUCCUUACUAAGAGAGAGAAAUAAACUUCCAUCUUCUUCAAGCCA